CUGUGAAAAGUUUCAGAUUUAAAGUGGAGGAAUCUGUCCAGGGGUGUAGGCACAAGAUCUAGGGGCCUUUGUAUGGCAGAACCGCCCAAAUUAACCUGACUAAAAUGCAUUGAAGUCGCUUGAUACGCGAUUAUGCACUUUAAGCAAGUCAACUUGGUCGACCGUCGGAUUUCAUCCGAUUAACCACAUAAACAGGAUCGAGAAGCAUCGCUCACGCGAAGGUGAGUAGCACAGAGGUUACAACAUUCCAUCACGACAACAAGUUCCACAUUUUAUUACAUCAGAGUUUUCGAAAUUCAGACCGAAAUUUGCAAGGUUCGAAGUCAAAUAAAACUAGCGGAAGCUAAAUGUCGAUACAUGACAUCACGAC
rnacentral:lncRNA from 1 species